CCUGGCGGCGAUAGCGCGGUGGUCCCACCUGACCCCAUGCCGAACUCAGAAGUGAAACGCCGUAGCGCCGAUGGUAGUGUGGGGUUUCCCCAUGUGAGAGUAGGGAACUGCCAGGU
rnacentral:rRNA from 6 species